rnacentral:rRNA from 1 species
AGCGAACGCUGGCGGCAGGCCUAACACAUGCAAGUCGAACGAACCUUUCGGGGUUAGUGGCGGACGGGUGAGUAACACGUGGGAACGUGCCGUUAGGUUCGGAAUAACUCAGGGAAACUUGUGCUAAUACCGAAUGUGCCCUUCGGGGGAAAGAUUAAUCGCCUUUAGAGCGGCCCGCGUCUGAUUAGCUAGUUGGUUGAGGUAAUGGCUCACCAAGGCGACGAUCAGUAGCUGGUCUGAGAGGAUGAUCAGCCACAUUGGGACUGAGACACGGCCCAAACUCCUACGGGAGGCAGCAGUGGGGAAUCUUGCGCAAUGGGCGAAAGCCUGACGCAGCCAUGCCGCGUGAAUGAUGAAGGUCUUAGGAUUGUAAAAUUCUUUCACCGGGGACGAUAAUGACGGUACCCGGAGAAGAAGCCCCGGCUAACUUCGUG